CUGAGUGAGGGCCUUCGGGCUCGACCUCCAACCCUUUGUGAACACCAACUUGUUGCUUCGGGGGCGACCCUGCCGUUUCGACGGCGAGCGCCCCCGGAGACCAUCAAACACUGCAUCUUUGCGUCGGAGCUUAAGUAAAUUAAACA
rnacentral:misc_RNA from 1 species